rnacentral:tRNA from 1 species
GCGGUGGGCCAUUGAAUUUGGCUUGCUAGAGCCAAAUCAUGCGCAGUCGCGUCGGUCUACGGAACCGAAGGUCACAGGUUCGAAUCCUGUCGGGCGCG